rnacentral:sRNA from 1 species
UAGGUAUUUGACCUGCGAGGCCCACGG